CAGUCGCCGCGAGAAUACAGAGGGUGCAAGCGUUAAUCGGAAUUACUGGGCGUAAAGCGCGCGUAGGUGGUUUGUUAAGUUGGAUGUAAAAGCCCCGGGCUCAACCUGGGAACUGCAUCCAAAACUGGCAAGCUAGAGUACGGUAGAGGGUGGUGGAAUUUCCUGUGUAGCGGUGAAAUGCGUAGAUAUAGGAAGGAACACCAGUGGCGAAGGCGACCACCUGGACUGAUACUGACACUGAGGUGCGAAAGCGUGGGGAGCAAACAGGAUUAGAUACCCCCGUAGUCCCUGUCUCUUAUAC
rnacentral:rRNA from 1 species